rnacentral:rRNA from 1 species
UACGUAGGGGGCAAGCGUUGUCCGGAUUUAUUGGGCGUAAAGAGCGUGUAGGCGGCCAAACAGGUCAGCUGUGAAAACUCGAGGCUCAACCUCGAGACGUCGGUUGAAACCGUUUGGCUAGAGUCCGGAAGAGGAGAGUGGAAUUCCCGGUGUAGCGGUGAAAUGCGCAGAUAUCGGGAGGAACACCUAUGGCGAAGGCAGCUCGCUGGGACGUUACUGACGCUGAGACGCGAAAGCGUGGGGAGCAAACAGG